AGCAGCCGCGGUAAUUCCAGCUCCAAUAGCGUAUAUUAAAGUUGUUGCAGUUAAAAAGCUCGUAGUUGAAUUUCGGGAUCAAUUUAUUGGUCGUGCCAACGGUACGCACUGGUACAAUUGGUUUCUCCCUUCUGACGAAGCAUGAUGUCAUUAACUUGAUGUCGUGGGGAAUCGGGACUGUUACUUUGAAAAAAUUAGAGUGUUUAGAGCAGGCUUUGACUUGAAUACAUUAGCAUGGAAUAAUGAAAUAGGACGUUUGAUCUUAUUUCGUUGGUUUCUAAGAUCGACGUAAUGAUUAAUAGGGAUAGUUGGGGGCAUUAGUAUUCAAUUGUCAGAGGUGAAAUUCUUGGAUUUAUUGAAGACUAACUACUGCGAAAGCAUUUGCCAAGGAUGUUUUCAUUAAUCAAGAACGAAAGUUAGGGGAUCGAAGACGAUCAGAUACCGUCGUAGUCUUAACCAUAAACUAUGCCGACUAGGGAUCGGAUGAUGUUAAUUUUUUAAUGACUCAUUCGGCGCCUUACG
rnacentral:rRNA from 1 species